rnacentral:rRNA from 1 species
CGCGAAGAACUUUACCAAGGUCUUGACAUCCCUCUGACCGGCUUAGAGAUAAGCCUUUCCUUCGGGACAGAGGUGACAGGUGGUGCAUGGUUGUCGUCAGCUCGUGUCGUGAGAUGUUGGGUUAAGUCCCGCAACGAGCGCAACCCUUGAACUUAGUUGCCAGCAGGUUAAGCUGGGCACUCUAAGUUGACUGCCGGUGACAAACCGGAGGAAGGCGGGGAUGACGUCAAAUCAUCAUGCCCCUUAUGACCUGGGCUACACACGUACUACAAUGGCCGGUACAACGGGAAGCGAAGGAGCGAUCCGGAGCCAAUCCUAGAAAAGCCGGUCUCAGUUCGGAUUGCAGGCUGCAACUCGCCUGCAUGAAGUCGGAAUUGCUAGUAAUCACGGAUCAGCAUGCCGCGGUGAAUACGUUCCCGGG